GUACAAGACUUGAGAAAGGUCAACAAGAGGAUAGAAGAUAUUCAUCCAACUGUUCCAAACCCUUACAAUUUGCUCAGUAACUGUUCAUCGAUGAGAAACAGGGGUAUGCUAAAGGGGUCCUAACACAAAGGUUGGGACCCUGAAAACGCCCUGUGGCCUACCUGUCUAAGAAAUUGGACCCUGUGGCCUCCGGCUGGCCACCGUGCCUAAAGAUGGUGGCUGCUAUUGCUGUCCUGAUCAAGGACGCUGGAAAAUUGACUUUGGGACAGCCACUCACCAUCCUAGCACCCCACGCAGUGGAGGCCUUGGUAAAGCAGCCCCCAGACCGCUGGCUCUCUAAUUCUCACACCAAGCCUUGUUACUGGAUGCAGAACGGGUUCAGUUUGGGCCUGUAGUUGCCCUCAAUCCUGCCACCUUGCUUCCUCUACCAGAGGAGGCAGAACAGCAUGACUGCCUACAAAUCCUCACAGAAGUACAUG
rnacentral:lncRNA from 1 species